rnacentral:rRNA from 1 species
GAUGAACGCUGGCGGCGUGCUUAACACAUGCAAGUCGAACGGGAGACCUUUUAUUGAAGCUUCGGCAGAUUUAGCUGGUUUCUAGUGGCGGACGGGUGAGUAACGCGUGGGUAACCUGCCCUAUACAGGGGGAUAACAACCAGAAAUGGUUGCUAAUACCGCAUAAGCGCACAGGACCGCAUGGUCCGGUGUGAAAAACUCCGGUGGUAUAGGAUGGACCCGCGUUGGAUUAGCCAGUUGGCAGGGUAACGGCCUACCAAAGCGACGAUCCAUAGCCGGCCUGAGAGGGUGAACGGCCACAUUGGGACUGAGACACGGCCCAGACUCCUACGGGAGGCAGCAGUGGGGAAUAUUGCACAAUGGGGGAAACCCUGAUGCAGCGACGCCGCGUGAAGGAAGAAGUAUCUCGGUAUGUAAACUUCUAUCAGCAGGGAAGAUAGUGACGGUA